CUGAAGCAAGGGAUCCAGAACACCAGACUGAUGGAUGGAGAGAGAGACAACUGAUCCUAGUGCUGUGUGGAAGACUAGUGAUUUUGUUGUGAUGCUGAGCAAUGAGAAUAACAACAAGUCCCAGUCUGCCCCUCAGCACAGGGCACUGGCCUACAGUCUGCUGCAUACUACAAGUUCAAGUCCCAGUUUUUUUAUUGGUCAUAUACACAUGAUAUACACAGACUACCCAGUGAAUUGAAAUGCUGACUUGCAGGUUCACCUCUUGACAGUGCAACAACAAAAUAAACAGGUAAUAAAACAACCAAAUGAAAACUCAAUGGGAUAAAAUAGAGUAGUAAUUUAGAAAGAAUAUAUUAUAAAAUAUAAUGCAAAUUAAAUUAAGACUGAUAUUUACAAUAUGUGGCGGGAAUUGUGCAAUAGAUUGUGCAACGAUAAUAGAGUCCAGUAACAUCAGUCGUGUGAGUGGGAAGGUGUGUGCGUGUGUGUGUUUGUUUGAGCCUAUGUGUAGGUGUGUGUGGGUGAGUAUACAAACACUGUGUGAGUGUGUGGCUUUGUGGUGUAAUGGAAGUUAAUUAAACACUGGAACAUUGAUAAAAAUAAAAAACGGGUACAAAUGGUCACAUCCAAACAAUCAGAAAAUACAUCAGACAUGUGGAAUCUCGUGAAUAUACAUGCAGUUGUCCAGGCAUACUGCUCAAAGGGAGAAGCAGCCAUUUCCCCCUGGUAAUCUUUUGAGAUUAGCGUUUUAACCUGAUAUAUUUGAACUAGGGAAAACGUACAGCUCAAAGUACAGAAAGCCCACAGUGUAUGGCUCUAUGACUACACCUCAUAGAUAAAAACACUUCUAGAAUUGCUUUAUCUGACAUCAAAGGAUGUAAAAUGUGGACGUAACAGAGGAAAGCAUUAACCAUCCCCACCUCAUUACAAUGGAAAGCAUUAACCAUGCCCACCUCAUUACAAUGGAAAGCAUUAACCAUCCCCACCGCCAUUACAAUGGAAAGCAUUAACCAUCCCCACCUCAUUACAAUGGAAAGCAUUCACCAUCCCCACCUCAUUACAAUGGAAAGCAUUCACCAUCCCCACCUCAUUACAAUGGAAAGCAUUCACCAUCCCCACCGCCAUUACAAUGGAAAGCAUUUUGAUCACAGGAUAAGCACCACAAAGAUACAACAUCCAACCAUAGGUGGAGUCGGGCUUCCUGUGUGGGAACAGUGGUAAGUGGUUAAUGCCAUAGACUUGUGGGGGUUCACUUAAAGGGCCAAUCCGCAGUUGAAAUAUAAAGAAAGUGUUGUCCCCACCACUGUUUCGGUAACAAGCUGAUGGAUGGGGCUGGAGAAAUGUAAUCACUCUCAAAUACAUAGAUAGAGCUAUGGAUGCAUGGACUGACCAUCCAUGAUAAACUACAUGACAAAUAGUAUGUGGACGCCUGCUUGUCGAACAUUUCAUUCCAAAAUCAUUGGCAUUAUUAAUAUGGAGUUGGUCCCCCAUUUGCUGCUAUAACUCUUCUGGGAAGGCUUUCCACUAGAUGUUGGAACAUUGCUGCGGGGACUUGCUUCCAUUCAGCCACAAGAGCAUUAGUGAGGUCAGGGACUGAUGUUGGGUGAUUAGGCCUGGCUCUCAGUCGGCGUACCAAUUAUUGGUCACAUACACACGGUUAGCAGAUGUUAUUGUGAGAGUAGCGAAGCACAGAAUAGUCUAGAGUGUCAUUGUAUUCUGUAGAGUUAAGAUUUUCCUUCACUGGAAC
rnacentral:lncRNA from 13 species